rnacentral:rRNA from 1 species
CCUACGGGUGGCAGCAGUGGGGGAUAUUGGACAAUGGGGGCAACCCUGAUCCAGCCACGCCGCGUGAGUGAAGAAGUAUUUCGGUAUGUAAAGCUCUUUCAGCAGGGAGGAAAGUAAUAAGGAUACCUGACCAAGAAGUCCAGGCUAACUACGUGCCAGCAGCCGCGUUAAUACGUAGGGGGCACGCGUUAUCCGGAAUGACUGGGGGUAAAGGUAGCGCAGACGGUGAGGCAAGUCUGGAGUGAAAGGCGCGGGACCAACCCCGGAAGUCCUCCUGAUACUGGGUAACUUGAGUGCAGGAGAGGGGAGUAGAAUUCCGUGUGUAGCGGUGAAAUGCGUAGAGAUGAGGAGGAACACCAGUGGCGAAGGCGGCUUCCUGGAC